rnacentral:lncRNA from 1 species
GCCACAGCUUCUUUCUGCACGCCCGGGUCACUUCCUCGACGAAGCUCCUCUGGAAUCCACUGGAGUUGAGUGCUGGGCCAGGCCUUGUGUGCUGAGGGCUAGACACUGGAGAGGCUGCCCAUGCCUCAUCAGCCUGAUGCUGGAGAAGCUGGUGGUGCUGCAGAAACUGGGAACUGGUGGAAGCCUCUUCUACUGAGGAACUAGAUUCUAAGGAGUCUGCCAAGUGAACUCACCGGAAGCAGGAUCAAGACUCUUCCCUCCUGUGGUGUCUCUCCAGCCCCCUCUAAUGAGAAAGCUUAACAUCUUGUCAGUUACAAAGGAAAAGUAUAUCAAGGGCCCAGAUCCAUUUUUACAGAGUAGACAUAAAGGACGAAUUUGAAGCUGAGGCAAUAAACUGAUAACUGCAGAAUUAUAUGUUUAAUACCUAACAAAGCUUUCAUUAAUACCAUGAAUUUAAUGCCAAGAGAAUAGUGUUUUAACAAAGAGCUACAUCACAAUAGUGAGGCUUGUUGCAUGAUCUGCUGGACAUUGAAUACUAACUGAUUUCCAGGUAUGGAUAUAGCAUAUUGUGCUUGAGAGAGUAUGUAUUUCAGGUGUUUUUACAUAUUGCUGUCCAU